rnacentral:rRNA from 1 species
UACGUAGGGGGCAAGCGUUGUCCGGAUUUAUUGGGCGUAAAGAGCGUGUAGGCGGCCAGGUAGGUCCGUUGUGAAAACUCGAGGCUCAACCUCGAGACGUCGAUGGAAACCAUCUGGCUAGAGUCCGGAAGAGGAGAGUGGAAUUCCUGGUGUAGCGGUGAAAUGCGCAGAUAUCAGGAGGAACACCGAUUGCGAAGGCAGCUCGCUGGGACGUGACUGACGCUGAGACGCGAAAGCGUGGGGAGCAAACAGG